ACUCAAGAACCUUGAUAUCAUGACCUGAGCUUAAGUCAGAUGCUUAACUUUCUGAGCCACCCAGGUGUCCCUAGACUUAGGAGUUUAAACAUUUAAAUACUACAGUGUACCAGUCUUUUUCUGUGGAUUCAGUUUGCCUUGGAGUAAAGUGGAGGUUUUAAUUAGAAUAUUUUUUAAUGAAGUUUCUUAGAGUAAACUUGGCUUUCUUGAGAAAAUGAUAUUAUAAAAACAUGUACAUGCUACUGUAGUUGUAUGUAGUUGUAUCAAGUAGUUAUGAACUACCUUGUUUAGGUAAAUUGGGGCAGUGUUUUAAGACUUUAGAAGUAUUUUUUUUUUUUAUUAGAAGUUUCUUUUUAGUGUGGUAAAUAUUAAUAUGUGUUUUUUAGUGAAUAAAAGAAUCGCCCUUCAGAUUUUUGAAAUACAUACAUGAAGAAUAUUGAAGAAUUUUGAAGAAUUUUUAUUUUUGUUUGAGUAGGUGGGAAUAGCCUUGGAUAUUUAAACAUAUGUACAUAAUAAACCUGAAGAUAAAUGUACAUUACAUGCUAAGGCAGUAAUUUGAUCCAGUUAUGUGUCUUUUGUUAGAAUUGUUCCAUUGUAGCUACCUAGUAUGUUAGUAGGCCAAAAGCAUUAAAGAGAUGUAGCCAGAGGCUAAGGGUAUAAUGCCUCUUCCAUGGUAGUGUUUCUCAAAUAGUGCAUAAUAAACACUCAGGGAUCUUUUUUAAAAAUGUAGGUUUUUGUCUUAGGUCUUCAACCUACAAAUGGAAUCAUUUUGUGAUUCUAGUAGAAUCUAAUGCAUUCUCUGUUGAUCACAGUUUUGGCUAAAUUCACCAGUUUUCAACCUUUGCAGCACAUCUAUGGAACUUAAAAAUGCCUGCUUUCCAAUCCACUACAUAUUUUUGAUACAGCGGGCCUGGGUUGGAGCCAUGGGAUCUGCAUCUUAAGAAGCUCUUCAGCUUGCUUAUUUUCAUUAGCAAAAAUAGACUAUUAGCCAUAUGUUGAAAUGAGACAUAGUCGAAAUAUUGAAAUAAGAAUAGUAGUAGUUCAAUUUUUUAUGGGACCUGGGGAGUUGAAGGGAGGGCUCAGAGUCAAUCAACUUGGGGGAAUAGGAUUCAUACACUUAACAAUGUAAGUAGCACAAUAUUCUAUGUGAAUAGUGUUCUGUGGGAUUUUGGUGUGACAACUUUGGUGUGAAAGUUGAGCUUUCAGCCUAUAUGUGGACAAUACCUACAGGUAUUGUCUCAAAUCAUACAUUAACUUUUUAAACUUUUUGUUUUUUAAGUAUUUCAUCUAGACUGGGGAGAUGGGAAGAGCG